rnacentral:rRNA from 1 species
AUGGCGAUGGCCGCGGCCGCCUCCCCCUCCAAGAUCCUGAUCCCCCCGCACCGAGCCUCCGCCGCGACCGCUGCCGCGUCCACCUCCUGCGACUCCCUCCGCCUCCUCUGCGCGCCGCGAGGACGGCGCCAGCGCCCGCGCGGGUUGGUCGCGCGUCCGGCUCCGCGGCGGCCCUUCUUCUUCUCCCCACGUGCCGUGUCAGACUCCAAGAGCUCCCAGACCUGUCUCGACCCCGACGCAAGCACGAGUGUUCUCGGAAUUAUUCUUGGAGGUGGUGCAGGGACUAGAUUGUAUCCCCUGACGAAGAAGCGUGCGAAGCCUGCAGUGCCAUUGGGUGCCAACUACAGGCUUAUUGAUAUUCCUGUCAGUAAUUGUCUGAACAGCAACAUAUCAAAGAUCUAUGUGCUCACGCAGUUCAACUCAGCUUCUCUUAAUCGUCAUCUCUCACGAGCCUAUGGGAGCAACAUUGGAGGUUACAAGAAUGAAGGAUUUGUUGAAGUCCUUGCUGCACAGCAGAGCCCAGAUAACCCUGACUGGUUUCAGGGUACUGCAGAUGCUGUAAGGCAGUACUUGUGGCUAUUCGAGGAGCAUAAUGUUAUGGAGUAUCUAAUUCUUGCCGGAGAUCACCUGUACCGAAUGGACUAUGAAAAGUUUAUUCAGGCACACAGAGAAACAGAUGCUGAUAUUACUGUUGCUGCGUUGCCCAUGGAUGAGGAACGUGCAACUGCAUUUGGCCUUAUGAAAAUCGAUGAAGAAGGGAGGAUAAUUGAAUUCGCAGAGAAACCAAAAGGAGAACAGUUGAAAGCUAUGAUGGUUGAUACGACCAUACUUGGCCUUGAUGAUGCGAGGGCAAAGGAAAUGCCUUAUAUUGCUAGCAUGGGUAUCUAUGUUAUUAGCAAACAUGUGAUGCUUCAGCUUCUCCGUGAGCAAUUUCCUGGAGCUAAUGACUUUGGAAGUGAGGUUAUUCCUGGUGCAACUAGCACUGGCAUGAGGGUACAAGCAUACCUAUACGAUGGUUACUGGGAAGAUAUUGGUACAAUCGAGGCAUUCUAUAAUGCAAAUUUGGGAAUUACCAAAAAGCCAAUACCCGAUUUCAGUUUCUAUGACCGUUCUGCUCCCAUUUACACACAACCUCGACACUUGCCUCCUUCAAAGGUUCUUGAUGCUGAUGUGACAGACAGUGUUAUUGGUGAAGGAUGUGUUAUUAAAAACUGCAAGAUACACCAUUCAGUAGUUGGACUCCGGUCCUGCAUAUCUGAAGGGGCAAUAAUAGAGGACACAUUGCUAAUGGGUGCGGACUACUAUGAGACUGAAGCUGAUAAGAAACUCCUUGCUGAAAAAGGUGGCAUUCCCAUUGGUAUUGGAAAGAAUUCACACAUCAAAAGAGCAAUAAUUGACAAGAAUGCUCGUAUUGGAGAUAACGUGAUGAUAAUCAAUGUUGACAAUGUUCAAGAAGCGGCGAGGGAGACAGAUGGAUACUUCAUCAAAAGUGGCAUUGUAACUGUGAUCAAGGAUGCUUUACUCCCUAGUGGAACAGUCAUAUGA